rnacentral:tRNA from 1 species
UCUUGUAAACCAAAAAUGAAGAGUUAAUCUUCUCAGGACA